GUACACGCUGUGACUAGCAUAUCAAUAAGCGGAGGAAAAGAAACUAACAAGGAUUCCCCUAGGUAACGGCGAGUGAAGCGGGAAGAGCUCAAAUUUGAAAUCUUAAAGGGUUUCCCUUUACGAAUUGUAGUUUAAAGAAGUGUUUUCUGUUGAGGUUUAGGUAAAAGUUCUUUGGAAUAGGACAUCAUAGAGGGUGAGAAUCCCGUAUUUGACCUUUACUUUCAACUUUGUGAUACACUUUCAAAGAGUCGGAUUGUUUGGGAAUGCAGUCCAAAAUGGGUGGUAAAUUUCAUCUAAAGCUAAAUAUUGGCGAGAGACCGAUAGUGAACAAGUACCGUGAGGGAAAGAUGAAAAGAACUUUGAAAAGAGAGUUAAACAGUACGUGAAAUUGUCAAAAGGGAAGCGUUUGACACCAGUGUUGUUUUUCUGAAAAUCAAUUAAAGAACUGUUUAUGCUAAGUUGUUUAGACUUUAUCAGCUAUCUGUUUAGUUUUGAGCUUUUCUUUAAUGCACUUUUCAGUUAACAAGUCAACAUCAAUUUCUUUUGCUGUAAAAAAGCUUGAGGAAGGUGGCUUGAGAUUCGUCUUAAGUGUUUAUAGCCUCUUGCCUAUGCAGUCGGAGAGAUUGAGGUCUGCAGCGUAGAUCCUUCGGGGCUAAAUGCAUUUGUGCUAAGUUAUAGCAUUUUAUAGACAACUUGUUGACUAUGAUUUGUCUUGUAGCUUACUCGCUUAUGUUAUUUUACCUACGCUUAGGAUGUUGACGCGCGUGUGUGCGUG
rnacentral:rRNA from 1 species